GACGUAGGGCGCGAGCGUUGUCCGGAUUUAUUGGGCGUAAAGCGCUCGCAGGUGGUUCGUCGCGUCGUGCGUGAAAGACCCCGGCUCAACUGGGGAGGGUCGUGCGAUACGGGCGGACUGGAGGCCAGUAGGGGGAUGCGGAAUUCCGGGUGUAGCAGUGAAAUGCGUAGAGAUCGGGAGGAACAUCCGUGGCGAAGGCGACUACCUGGACCAGCACUGACACUGAGGCACGAAAGCGUGGGGAGCAAACAGG
rnacentral:rRNA from 1 species